rnacentral:rRNA from 1 species
GGGGAUCAGUGGCGAACGGGUGAGUAACACGUGGGCAACCUGCCCUCAGCUCUGGGAUAACUCCAAGAAAUUGGGGCUAAUACUGGAUAUGACUGCUGACCGCAUGGUCUGGUGGUGGAAAGAUUUAUCGGCUGGGGAUGGGCCCGCGGCCUAUCAGCUUGUUGGUGGGGUAGUGGCCUACCAAGGCGACGACGGGUAGCCGGCCUGAGAGGGUGACCGGCCACACUGGGACUGAGACACGGCCCAG